CAGGCCUAACACAUGCAAGUCGUACGAGAACUCUUCUGCUUGCAGAAGAUAGUAAAGUGGCGCACGGGUGAGUAACGCGUGGGUAAUCUACCUCCGAAUCGGGGAUAACCCGCCGAAAGGCGAGCUAAUACCGGAUAAUAUCUUUAAAACCUCGGUUUUUAAGAUCAAAGGUGGUCUCUACAUGUAAGCUACUGUUUGGAGAUGAGCCCGCGUACCAUUAGCUUGUUGGUAGGGUAAUGGCCUACCAAGGCCGCGAUGGUUAGCUGGUAUGAGAGGAUGAUCAGCCACACUGGAACUGACACACGGUCCAGACUCCUACGGGAGGCAGCAGUGAGGAAUUUUGCGCAAUGGGGGAAACCCUGACGCAGCAACGCCGCGUGAGUGAUGAAGGCUUUCGGGGACGUAAAGCUAUGUCAAGUGGGAAGAACCUGCUCGAUGUUACACACCAGAUAGCACUGACGGUACCANUAAAGGAAGCACCGGCUAACUCCGUGCCAGCAGCCGCGGUAA
rnacentral:rRNA from 1 species